UUAAAGUNANUAAAACGNANUUUAAUUCGNGAAAACCNNCGAAAUGGCUCAUUAAUAACAGGCUAUAAUUUACUUGAUCUUGACACAAUCCUACUUGGAUAACUGUGGUAAUUCUAGAGCUAAUACAUGCAUUAAAGCUCUGACCUCACGGGAAGAGUGCAUUUAUUAGAACAAAACCAAGCGGCUUCGGCUGUUUCUGGUUGACUCAUAGUAACUGAGCUGAUCGCAUGGUCUUGCACCGGCGACGUGUCUUUCAAGUAUCUGCCGUAUCAACUUUCGAUGGUAGUGUAUCUGACUACCAUGGUGAUCACGCGUAACGGAGAAUAAGGGUUCGGCUCCGGAGAGUUCGCCUGAGAAAUCGCGAACACAUCUAAGGAAGGCAGCAGGCGCGAAAAUUACCCACUCUCAGCACGAGGAGGUAGUGACGAAAAAUAACGAGACCGUUCUCUUAUGAGGCCGGUCAUCGGAAUGGGUACAAUUUAAACCCUUUAACGAGUAUCUAUGAGAGGGCAAGUCUGGUGCCAGCAGCCGCGGUAAUUCCAGCUCUCAAAGUGCAUAGAAUUAUUGCUGCGGUUAAAAAGCUCGUAGUUGGAUCUGUGCCAUAGGACGUGGUCCACCUUCGGGUGCGUACUACGCUCCUAGGCUUUUUGCUGGUUUUCCCGUCGUAGCCUUCACUGGUUGCGGCGGGUGGCUGGCGAGUUUACUUUGAGAAAAUCAGAGUGCUCAAUACAGGCGUAUCGCUUGAAUGAUUGUGCAUGGAAUAAUAGAAAAGGAUUUCGGUCCUCUUUUAUUGGUUUUGUGGACUGAGAUAAUGGUUAACAGGGACAAACGGGGGCAUUCGUAUCUCUGCGUGAGAGGUGAAAUCUG
rnacentral:rRNA from 1 species